rnacentral:rRNA from 1 species
GCUUGUCUCAAAGAUUAAGCCAUGCAUGUCUAAGUAUAAAUAGUAUACAGUGAAACUGCGAAUGGCUCAUUAAAACAGUUAUAGUUUAUUUGAUAAUGGAACUUUACAUGGAUAACCGUGGUAAUUCUAGAGCUAAUACAUGCUAUAUGCCCGGCUUCUGGCAGGGCUGUAUUUAUUAGAUUAAAAACCAAUGCCCUCUGGGCUCUCUGGUGAUUCAUGAUAACUUCUCGAAUCGCAUGGCCUUGCGCCGGCGAUGGUUCAUUCAAAUUUCUUCCCUAUCAACUUUCGAUGUUUGGGUAGUGGCCAAACAUGGUUGCAACGGGUAACGGAGGGUUAGGGCUCGACCCCGGAGAAGGAGCCUGAGAAACGGCUACUACAUCCAAGGAAGGCAGCAGG